rnacentral:lncRNA from 1 species
AAAACCGAUUCCUAAAAUAUUUCUAACAGAUAAAUAGAAAAGAAUUAAAAGAAAAACCCCAGCAAAACGAUUUCUUAUCUUUUAAAAAUGUUCGAUGCUUAAAAGAAAUAUUUAGGUCGAUGAACUGGGACGAGUAUACAUGUCUUGUAAAUAUAAUAAUUGCCAUCAAAUGAGGCUAGUCCGAUAAGCCAGAAUACCAACCGCGCAAAUUCGAUUAUCCGGUAUCUAGCAUCCCAGAUAAGCCAUCGAAUUUUAUUAGAUUGAUACUUAAAUGGAUCGACAUUUAUUCAGUCAAUGACGGAUUUAGCCCGAGUGAGACUUUCCCCCAGUACCUUCUCGCCACUCACCCAUUUUACCAGUUAAAUGGGCCGUCUGCCCAGCCACGCAGCUGGAAAGACACCGACUAUACGUACCUAUAAUUGGCGGCAGAGUGGCAACGCUGUCGGCCCGCCAGGCCUGAGAACCCGGGUCUGGUAGCUCCCGGAAAGUUUUUUUCGGGCGCUGGCCCGGCCCAUCCCCGUCCUUCACCAUCCGACCCCCUUCCACGGGUGCCAGUGCAGCUGGUGGUUAGAACCGACACCGCCCCUUAGUAAUCUCACCGAUUGGAAAGAGGCGUAAAAUAUGCAAAACAAAAAAGGACACCUAUAAUUUAAAACAGAUUAAUUAUUUAUACAAUUAACCAUUGAAUUAUUGUUUGUUUCGAUUCGAUGACUUUUUAAUUUAUACCGAUUUGGAGAAAAAUAGUUAAUGGUAUGACUCAUGGAUGGAGGUAUAAUGCCGAAAGAGAAACUGGAUACCGACUGGUAAUUUUCAAUAUUGCUUAGUUCCAAUGUUUAUAACGUAUCCGAUUUUUCACCCGGUCGGGUUUUAAUGACCAGAAAAUUGACGAAAAAACUGAGAAUAAUUUUGCAUUAAUACCUGUUACCAUAUUUAAAAAUGGAUAAAUGAGAAGAUGGGUUAUUUAUGCAGAAAUUGUCCAUUUCGUAAGUAAAACGUCCCGCACCUGACCAACAUGGUGGCUCCAGAGAAAGAAAAAUCGUUAACGCAUUUACCGGAAUGCCACGAGUAUCGAAUAUCAAAAGUUGCGUGUGAUGGUGACCAUGGACAAAAUGGAGUUACUCGACCAACCUUGGCCUAUGGAAACACAGAAAUGUUUUUCAUUUACACACGUUGGGAGAUUUUUUCUUCUUUAAACGAAUUUUGUGCAGCUUUCGUUUGGUCGGCUCGAUAUGGAACUGCACCAAAUUUCUAUGUUUUUCCAUAGAAGAAAGCGUCGAAAGAAAAAUAAAACGUGGCAUAAAUAUCUUACGCAACAAAAUAUAUUUUUCUGUUCUAUCGGCAUCGGUUAUCGAUGCAAUUAUGUUCGAAUGAAACCUUUCAGAUAACAUCGCCAACACAAUUUGGUUCUCGGCCAAAAAACAAAAAGAAUUAAAUAACUUCUUUAGAAGAGUAAAAGCGGCCUGUUUAACGGGCUUCGAA